rnacentral:rRNA from 1 species
GAUGAACGCUGGCGGCGUGCCUAACACAUGCAAGUCGAACGGACUUACAUUGAAGCCUAGCGAUAUGUAAGUUAGUGGCGGACGGGUGAGUAACGCGUGGGUAACCUGCCUUGUACUGGGGGACAACAGUUGGAAACGACUGCUAAUACCGCAUAAGCGCACAGCUUCGCAUGAAGCAGUGUGAAAAACUCCGGUGGUACAAGAUGGUCCCGCGUCUGAUUAGCUUGUUGGCGGGGUAAAGGCCCACCAAGGCGACGAUCAGUAGCCGACCUGAGAGGGUGACCGGCCACAUUGGGACUGAGACACGGCCCAAACUCCUACGGGAGGCAGCAGUGGGGAAUAUUGCACAAUGGAGGAAACUCUGAUGCAGCGACGCCGCGUGAGCGAUGAAGUAUUUCGGUAUGUAAAGCUCUAUCAGCAGGGAAGAUAAUGACGGUACCAGACUAAGAAGCUCCGGCUAAAUACGUG